AACUUUCAACAACGGAUCUCUUGGCUCUGGCAUCGAUGAAGAACGCAGCGAAAUGCGAUAAGUAAUGUGAAUUGCAGAAUUUACUGAAUCAUCGAAUCUUUGAACGCACAUUGCGCCCCUUGGUAUUCCGAGGGGCAUGCCUGUUCGAGCGUC
rnacentral:rRNA from 1 species